UAAAUAUAUAUGUAAGGAUUCUCAUGUGCAGACGUUCGCACUUUUUAAAAUGCAGAUUUAUGUUAGUUCAUGCUAAUUAGCUCAAAUUUAACAUUCUUAUUCAUGUUAAUUAGCUCAAAGUUAACAUUUUCAUAUCUGCAUUUUAAAACGUGCGGAUGUCUGCACUAAAGAAUGAUUAUAUAUAUGUUUCU
rnacentral:pre_miRNA from 1 species